rnacentral:lncRNA from 1 species
UACUUGGAAAGAAGUUCUCCGGACAGAGGACGUUUAUUUAGUAGCAGUACCGUUGGUAACGUCCGAGGUCACAGGAAGUGGACAUAUCUGUGUUGUUGUUUUAUAUGCCAUCACUUCAUGCAUGACUAAGGUCAAGUUGCUGUCUGAAGCUUAUGCCACACAUGGACAGUUGACUGACUUGCAGGUGAACUUAUGGAGUUGUUUUAUAACAAACAUACUUUGCUUUCUACUGAUGGCUGCUACCGGAACGUAUGACGCCAUCAAGCAGUCGGCCUCCAGCCACGAGUUCUUCGCUUGCACAGAGUUUCUAAGCCUAAUUGUCGACUCAUUAUACUGGUUGUACGAUGACUUCCAUCUGUGAAGUUGGACUAUUGGACCCUGACCACUGUGACAUAUGAACAUUUUUGUGCAUUAAAAAAAUUUCGAAAAAUUCUGUUGCGGUCAUACGCUCAUUAAAAAAAGAAUUAAAAAAAACUGGC